UACGUAGGGGGCUAGCGUUGUCCGGAAUCAUUGGGCGUAAAGCGCGCGUAGGCGGCCCGGUAAGUCCGCUGUGAAAGUCAAAGGCUCAACCUUUGAAUGUCAGCGGAUACUGCCGGGCUAGAGUCCGGAGGAGGCGAGUGGAACUCCUGGUGUAGCGGUGGAAUGCGCAGAUAUCAGGAAGAACACCAACGGCGAAGGCAGCUCGCUGGGACGGAACUGACGCUAAGGCGCGAAAGCGUGGGGAGCGAACAGG
rnacentral:rRNA from 1 species